GAUGAACGCUGGCGGCGUGCCUAAUACAUGCAAGUCGAGCGAACGGACGAGAAGCUUGCUUCUCUGAUGUUAGCGGCGGACGGGUGAGUAACACGUGGAUAACCUACCUAUAAGACUGGGAUAACUUCGGGAAACCGGAGCUAAUACCGGAUAAUAUUUUGAACCGCAUGGUUCAAAAGUGAAAGACGGUCUUGCUGUCACUUAUAGAUGGAUCCGCGCUGCAUUAGCUAGUUGGUAAGGUAACGGCUUACCAAGGCAACGAUGCAUAGACGACCUGAGAGGGUGAUCGGCCACACUGGAACUGAGACACGGUCCAGACUCCUACGGGAGGCAGCAGUAGGGAAUCUUCCGCAAUGGGCGAAAGCCUGACGGAGCAACGCCGCGUGAGUGAUGAAGGUCUUCGGAUCGUAAAACUAUGUUAUUAGGGAAGAACAUAUGUGUAAGUAACUGUGCACAUCUUGACGGUACCUAAUCAGAAAGCCACGGCUAACUACGUG
rnacentral:rRNA from 1 species